GACGAACGCUGGCGGCGUGCUUAACACAUGCAAGUCGAACGGAAAGGCCCUGCUUUUGUGGGGUGCUCGAGUGGCGAACGGGUGAGUAACACGUGAGUAACCUGCCCUUGACUUUGGGAUAACUUCAGGAAACUGGGGCUAAUACUGGAUAGGAGCUCCUGCUGCAUGGUGGGGGUUGGAAAGUUUCGGCGGUUGGGGAUGGACUCGCGGCUUAUCAGCUUGUUGGUGGGGUAGUGGCUUACCAAGGCUUUGACGGGUAGCCGGCCUGAGAGGGUGACCGGCCACAUUGGGACUGAGAUACGGCCCAGACUCCUACGGGAGGCAGCAGUGGGGAAUAUUGCACAAUGGGCGGAAGCCUGAUGCAGCAACGCCGCGUGCGGGAUGACGGCCUUCGGGUUGUAAACCGCUUUCGCCUGUGACGAAGCGUGAGUGACGGUAAUGGGUAAAGAAGCACCGGCUAACUACGUGCCAGCAGCCGCGGUGAUACGUAGGGUGCGAGCGUUGUCCGGAUUUAUUGGGCGUAAAGGGCUCGUAGGUGGUUGAUCGCGUCGGAAGUGUAAUCUUGGGGCUUAACCCUGAGCGUGCUUUCGAUACGGGUUGACUUGAGGAAGGUAGGGGAGAAUGGAAUUCCUGGUGGAGCGGUGGAAUGCGCAGAUAUCAGGAGGAACACCAGUGGCGAAGGCGGUUCUCUGGGCCUUUCCUGACGCUGAGGAGCGAAAGCGUGGGGAGCGAACAGGCUUAGAUACCCUGGUAGUCCACGCUGUAAACGGUGGGUACUAGGUGUGGGGUCCAUUCCACGGGUUCCGUGCCGUAGCUAACGCUUUAAGUACCCCGCCUGGGGAGUACGGCCGCAAGGCUAAAACUCAAAGGAAUUGACGGGGCCCCGCACAAGCGGCGGAGCAUGCGGAUUAAUUCGAUGCAACGCGUAGAACCUUACCUGGGUUUGACAUGGAUCGGGAGUGCUCAGAGAUGGGUGUGCCUCUUUUGGGGUCGGUUCACAGGUGGUGCAUGGCUGUCGUCAGCUCGUGUCGUGAGAUGUUGGGUUAAGUCCCGCAACGAGCGCAACCCUUGUUCACUGUUGCCAGCACGUUAUGGUGGGGACUCAGUGGAGACCGCCGGGGUCAACUCGGAGGAAGGUGGGGAUGACGUCAAGUCAUCAUGCCCCUUAUGUCCAGGGCUUCACGCAUGCUACAAUGGCUGGUACAGAGAGUGGCGAGCCUGUGAGGGUGAGCGAAUCUCGGAAAGCCGGUCUCAGUUCGGAUUGGGGUCUGCAACUCGACCUCAUGAAGUCGGAGUCGCUAGUAAUCGCAGAUCAGCAACGCUGCGGUGAAUACGUUCCCGGGGCU
rnacentral:rRNA from 1 species